UGGACAAAAUUUAUCAAUUUAAUGCAUUCGAACAGUGAGUGAAUGUUUUUAAGUUCCCGAUAAAUUGUGAUCAUUUCAGGUAUGUCGGUUCAUAAAGACGCGUGAUGUCGGGACGGUGAAUGCACGUCUACAAGAUAAUGCAUAGUAAACAGAUGGUAAACGUAAUUUCCGGACACAGAUGCGACUUGCAAGGGUCAAAAUCUUUAAAUUAUGAUCUCUGUGUGCAUGCGAUUAUCUUUAGCCGACUUGCGAAAUGUCCAAACAACUCCAACUGCUUCCUAAGAUGAUAACACGGACGAUAAAGGAAUGAAGAGUAUGUCUGCUUCACUACGAUUGACAAAACUUGCACAU
rnacentral:lncRNA from 1 species